rnacentral:rRNA from 1 species
UACGUAGGGUGCGAGCGUUGUCCGGAAUUAUUGGGCGUAAAGGGCUCGUAGGCGGUUUUGUCGCGUCUGCUGUGAAAAACUGGAGGCUCAACCUCCAGCCUGCAGUGGGUACGGGCAAACUAGAGUGCGGUAGGGGAGAUUGGAAUUCCUGGUGUAGCGGUGGAAUGCGCAGAUAUCAGGAGGAACACCGAUGGCGAAGGCAGAUCUCUGGGCCGUAACUGACGCUGAGGAGCGAAAGCAUGGGGAGCGAACAGG